rnacentral:lncRNA from 1 species
AAGGGGGUGGGGGCCAGGCGGGGGCAUCCGGCCGAGCUGGGGUCUCCGGGCUUCGUCCGGAGGAAGCGAGGUUGCGCUGGCUGGGCAGUCGGAGGGGACGGGACGCACCGGCGGGCGAGCGGACUCGCCCUCUUGAUGACUGAGCCGUCCGGGCCCGUCCUGCCUGGCCGCAGGUGCCCUGGAUGAGGCCGACCCGUGCGUCCCGGCCGGUGAGUGUCCCCGCGGUAGUCCAGCCGGCCGCCUGCCCCCGGCCCCUGCGCCGCCGUUAGUGGCCACCUCUCCUUGCCCCAGUGCCCGCGCCCGGCGCAGUCCGCCUCCGGCCGGCGCCUCCGCACCCUGCGGAGGUGGCAUGGGCCCUGGGGCCGGGAUGGGCCGGCCGGGAAGAGGACCGCAAGCCCGGGCCGUGAGCCGAUGCAAACCGCGCGGCGCGUAGUAGGAGCUUGCGCGUAGUAGGCUCUCAGUGCAUUUCUGAAGAAUUCCUUUUCAGUUUGGAGGAAGGUAGGGUACCUAAGGGAAAAGGGGGUCGUCCCGGGUAUUAGGAGAGUGUUCGUGAUUCGGGUCGGGGGCAGGCCACCGAGUGGGGGCUCAAGGGAAGGGGACACCGGUCAAGUCAUUUUGGGCUCUACUGCUUCGAUCUGGGGAGUCCUCAAGGUCGAAGAGGAAAGGUCCGCUGGGAGAUGAAGGAGGGGACCAGCGAGUGUGGAUGGGAGAAGUGACUGGAGCAUCUCUGGAGGUUUAACCCGAGGUGUAGGUUAGGAAAGGAUGCGGAGGCGGGCGCAGGGAAGACCCCGGUGCAGCAAUUUGGGCUCUUAAGAUUCUUUGGUGCUGGGAUUUGGGUAUUGGAGUAGCCAAAGCAGAGUGACUUUGUGGAGAGGGAGUUGCGUUUAAAGGAUGCUGUGAAACAGUGUAAGUACAUCUUUGGUUCUGAACUUUCAAA